UAAACUAUGCGUGUGGUUUUCUCAGUUGUUCUGAAGAACUAAUAAUCUCCUGCACUCUGAAUCCUACGAACUUAUAAGCCUUUGUUAUUUUACCCAAGUGCCUAAUAGCGCUAAUUAGCUGUACAAAUAUGUUUACAAGAAAGUUUUAAAUGGUAAUUACGUCAAUUAAGGCGUGUGUUAUAAGAUUUUAUUAAAAUUGUAAUACUUAAAUAACUUUACAGAGCAAAUAAACAAUUUCAAUAACUCCGGAAAUCAAUACAAUACAUGGCAAUGCUAUUUGCCUCGCCUACCAUGCGAGAUGGAGGUCAUACAACCAUAGCUAAUGUUAUCGAUAUCACCUAUGCCCGUGGAUUUGAUAACUAACACUAGUUUAUGAAGUGUUUUUCUAUAAGAAUAAAAUAAAAAUAGUAUUUAUUUGAGUAAUUUUAGGUUAUAUUAAACUUUGUCUUUUUUAAUAUGAGUGCCAAAAAAGUGACCUAAUCUGUGAACGUUUCAAAGUUUUCCCGACUGUUUCAUGUUCUGUACUCUCUUCCAAUCUCUACCCAUUUCAAAAAUGGUUUGGCUUUUGUUUAAUUUUUCUAAUUGGUUUCCCCCUUUCUUUCAACUGGGCAACAAAGAGCUUUUGUUUAACUGUUAUUUACCAUCACAAAGACCAUACUGGCAACACACAAUUAAUCUUACGAAUUUAUUGUAACGUAGGAAAAUUACGUUAAUAGUAUAAUAAUAAUAACAAAAGCUCUUUAUUUGCUAACCUUUUUAACUUACAUGCUAUUCUUACAUAUGUAAAAUUAGAAGCAUUUCAUGUAUAGGUAUUUCUUUUUUUUUGACGUUCAUAAGCGUACAUUGUGUUACCUACUGGUGCCUUCGGGACGUUCAGUCAGUUCACCAGCCUUCCUCCAUGUGAUCGUUAGAGUACAUGGUGUGUCAGUUAAUAGUCGUUCGUCUCUUUCUAACAAAUUAUGUUUAUGCUGUGAUGGAAAUAGACAGGAUUGUUUUUUUUUUAAUGAAAACCAUUCAUUUUAGAUGCCCGCAGAAAUGAACUAAUGCAAUCUAAAAUCACACAUUGUGUUAUUGUUUGUGUGUGUAAUAUGAAGAAAAUUAUCAAUUAAACGAUAUUAUGACGCAAACAGCUGCCAUAGAUUAAAAAAUCUAUGACUGAAUGUAAAAACCCUAAUAAGUAGGUCGUUGUGCCAACCCUUGGUUAUUUUGGAGCACAAUGUGCGUAACAAAAGUAAAUUAUACCUUCCUGUGACCUGUCUCAUCAAUGAACAGUGGGUGUUGGUUCUUUGUAUUGUUAACAUCCAUUGUGUGUUUUCAGCAUCCAAUCAUGGGAAUUCGCUUGUUGAUUUUUAUGUGUCUCAUAAUUAUGAUUAGUGCGCUACCGAACCCUGAACAAAGAAACAGAAGAGAUGUAAUGGAUACAAUGAAGCAUGCUUGGGACGAGAUGGUGAGGACUUUCAAUGACGCUGGGGAUGCUGUAGUUAACGUGUUCAAACCAACAGAGAAAAACGUUUUAGACAAAAUGGCGGAUGGAAUAAAGGGACUUACUAAUUA